rnacentral:rRNA from 1 species
UCCGGGCUUUGUUUGCGCAGGAUAGGUGGGAGGCGUUGAAGAUUCUCUUGCGGGGGAGUUGGAGCCGUUGGUGAGAUACCACUCUAACAAUGCUAGGAUUCUAACCCUAUACCGUUAUCCGGUUAGGGGACAGUUCCAGGUGGUCAGUUUGACUGGGGCGGUCGCCUCCCAAAAGGUAACGGAGGCGUGCAAAGGUUUCCUCAGGCUGGUCGGAAAUCAGUUGUAGAGUGUAAAGGCAUAAGGAAGCUUGAUUGUUAGACCUACAAGUCGAACAAAGACGAAAGUCGGCCUUAGUGAUCCGACGGUUCCGAGUGGAAGGGCCGUCGCUCAACGGAUAAAAGUUACUCUAGGGAUAACAGGCUGAA